GACGAACGCUGGCGGCGUGCUUAACACAUGCAAGUCGAGCGGUAAGGCCCUUUCGGGGGUACACGAGCGGCGAACGGGUGAGUAACACGUGGGUGACCUGCCCUCAGCUCUGGGAUAAGCCUGGGAAACUGGGUCUAAUACUGGAUAUGACUCCACGGUGCAUGUCGUGGGGUGGAAAGCCUUGUGCGGCUGAGGAUGGGCCCGCGGCCUAUCAGCUUGUUGGUGGGGUGAUGGCCCACCAAGGCGACGACGGGUAGCCGGCCUGAGAGGGCGACCGGGCCACACUGGGACUGAGACACGGCCCAGACUCCUACGGGAGGCAGCAGUGGGGAAUCUUGCGCAAUGGGCGAAAGCCUGACGCAGCGACGCCGCGUGAGGGAUGACGGCCUGGUGUAACU
rnacentral:rRNA from 1 species